rnacentral:miRNA from 1 species
GAUAGGCGAUAACACGUUGGCGAUAACACUUUGGCCAUCUCCUCGUCUUUCUUAUUUAAAUAAGAAAGACGAGGAGAUGGCCAAAGUGUUAUCGCCAACGUGUUAUCGCCUAU